AGGACUAUACUUUCAGGGGUCAUUUCUGUAGUUGGUCACUAGAGGAGAGUGAUCGUACGUGUACGGCGUCACAAGCCACGAGGAGGAGCGGGGUGUUCUCUCCUGAGCGCGAAGCGGGCGGGCGGUGCUGCUUGGGCAGGAGCCGCCCGCCAUUGAUGACCGUUCCCGCCCCUGCGGGGGCCGGGAGGGAGAGAGCACGGGCUGAGUGGU
rfam:Aptenodytes forsteri contig36420, whole genome shotgun sequence.